AGAGUUUGAUCAUGGCUCAGAGUGAACGCUAGCGGCGUGGUUAAGACAUGCAAGUCGAGCGAUGAAGUCCCUUCGGGGAUGGAAUAGCGGCAAACGGGUGCGUAACACGUGAGCAACCUGCCUUGAAGUGGGGGAUAGCCCGGGGAAACCCGGAUUAAUACCGCAUGUGGUCCCUUCUCGCAUGAGAAGUGGACCAAAGCUUGUAAAGGCGCUUCAAGAGGGGCUCGCGGCCUAUCAGCUUGUUGGUGAGGUAAAGGCUCACCAAGGCGAAGACGGGUAGCUGGUCUGGGAGGAUGAUCAGCCACACUGGGACUGAGAUACGGCCCAGACACCUACGGGUGGCAGCAGUUUCGAAUCAUUCACAAUGGGGGAAACCCUGAUGGUGCAACGCCGCGUGGAGGAUGAAGGCCUUCGGGUUGUAAACUCCUGUCACCAGGGAACAAACAGUCGGUUCGUAGCCGGCUCUGAGUUAACCUGGAGAGGAAGAGGUGGCUAACUCCGUGCCAGCAGCCGCGGUAAUACGGAGACCUCAAGCGUUACUCGGAUUCACUGGGCGUAAAGAGUAUGUAGGCUGUCUGGUAUGUCAGGUGUGAAAGCCCGGGGCUCAACCUCGGAAUUGCGCCUGAAACUACCGGACUCGAGGCCUGGAGAGGGGAGUGGAAUUCCUGGUGUAGCGGUGAAAUGCGUAGAUAUCAGGAGGAACACCAAUGGCGAANGCAGCUCCCUGGACAGGUUCUGACGCUGAGAUACGAAAGCGUGGGUAGCGAAAGGGAUUAGAUACCCCUGUAGUCCACGCCGUAAACGUUGUACACUAGGUUUCGGAGGGCCUACCCCUUCGGAGCUCCAGCUAACGCGUUAAGUGUACCGCCUGAGGACUACGGCCGCAAGGCUAAAACUCAAAGGAAU
rnacentral:rRNA from 1 species